GUUUGGUAUUGAUAACAUUUCGGAUUAUAAACUGACUCCGAAGCAUCAGUUCUCUCCAAAGGAUUAUCAUUUUGCCCUAGCACAAAACAUGAUGACAUUGGGCUCUACUCUGGAAUAAUUUUUCAGAAGGAUGUGACUUAAGGAAUACUUCCAUGACAAAGAGAGCACUGAAACCACAAUGGAUUACAACAACAGGAAAAAGAAC